AUGCCUUGCUUGCCCCUCCCUUGCCUUGGCUUAUCUAUCGCUCUCUUGCCUUUCUUUCCCUUCCCCUCCCUUGACUUGUCCCUAUGUUACCCCUUACUUUCCUUGUCAUGCUUUUCUCUUCCCUUGCCCCUCUCUUUCCUUUCCCUUUUCCUGCCUUGUAUUGACUUGCUCCUCCUAUGGCACUCCCUUGCCUGGCCUUGCCUUCCCUCACCCUUUCUUUCUUUACCAUGCCCCUAUGACUUACCCCUCCUUGCCUUUUCUUGCCUUUUCUUGCCUUUUCUUGCCUUUUCUUGCCUUUUCUUGCCUUUUCUUGCCUUUUCUUGCCUUUUCUUGCCUUUUCUUGCGCUUCCCUUGCCUUUCUUGUGUUUUCUCACCUUGCCUCUCCAUUCCGUUGCCUUGCUUCUCCUUGCUUUCCUUGCCUUGCCCCUCCAUUGCCUUGCCUUUCCUUGCCCUUGGCUUGUUGACCCGUCCCUUGCCUCACCUUGUCUAUCACUCCCUUGCCAUCCCCUGCAAUACCCCAUAUACCCCUCCCUUGCUGUGCCUUCCCUACCCCUCCCUUACAUUGCCUCUCCCUUGCCUUUCCUAUCCUUGCCCCACUCAUGCCCCUCCCUUGCCUUGCAUUCACUUUCCUUUCUUUUCCCAUCCUAUGCUCCAUCCUUGCCAUAUUCCACUCUUUCCCUUCCCUUUUCUUGCCUUGUCCCUCCCUUGCCCCUUCUUUGCCUUUCCCCUCUCUUGCCUUACCUACCCAUCUCUUGCACUGCCUACUCCUCUCUUGCCUUGCCUACCCCUCCAUUGCCCUUUCUUGCCUACCCUUCCCUUGCCUUGCUGUCAUUUUCCUUUUAUUCCCUUCCCUUGCCUUCCCUUGCUUUGCCUUUCUGUUGCCCCUUCUUCCCUCCCUGCUGCUUUGUCCUCCAUGACCUCUCCAUUGCCUUUUCCCUCCCUUUCCCCCCAUUACUCUUUGCGUUCCUUCCUUUGCCUAUACCUUGCCUUGCCAGUUUGAAAGUAAAAGCCUUUUACUUUCCUUGCCUUGCCUUAACUUGCUCCUGCCUUUCCCCUCCUUGCCUUUUGUUGCCCCUGUCUUGCCUGCCCUUGCCUUGUUUUGCCUCUCCCUCGAUUGGCCUUGUCUUGCCUUGCCUUGUCCCUCCAUGGCAUUGCUGCUCUCUGUCCUUCCCAUGCCCCUUCUUGCCUUGCCUUUCCCUUGCCUUGCCUUGUUUGGACUUGCUCCUUGUAGUGGAUUUAGGUUCCUCUGAAUUUCUUCCCCAGAAGGGGGAGGAGGCGGCUUUCUGGGUGAAUAGUGAUCAAGACACAAUAGGAAGUGUCCGAUGGCCCUGGCAUUCCAGUGGAGUCAUUUUGGGGUUGGGGAGCUUUGGCUGGGGGAUGGGCUUUUCUGCUUGGGGUUCUUCAAGAGUUGUGGCUUGGUGCUGUGAAAGGUCUGACCCGAGACUUGGGUGCAGGUGGGUCCUUCCUUUUGCUGGGGGAUUCAGAGCAGUUGCAUGGGUGUUGCCUGGAGCCAGGCAGUCUCAGCCAGAUCUCUUUCUGCACAGUAGCUCAGCAAUAUGA
ensembl:lncRNA